rnacentral:lncRNA from 1 species
ACGAAGAUACCAAUACAUGCCCAAUAAAACAUCGAAGUCUACCAUACAUAACAAAAACAGAUCCACUCGAGUCUCCAGACCCCCAAUAGUCACCACAUAUGACCGGUACAUGCGAUCUACAACAACAGUAUCGCCCACCGGAGUAGAUACACGAACAGAUGAAACGAGAGACUCACAGGGUAUAUCUAAAUAACGAGCAAAGUAUUAUGACACAUAAGAAUAAGUGGAACCGGGAUCAAAUAAUACAGAGGCAUCUCUGUGGCAGUCUGAGAUAAUACCUGUGAUCACGGAGUCUGAAGCAAUAGCAUCGGGUAUGUCAUACCUCCUUUUUCCUACAACCUCGUAAGGGAGUAUAAAGGGAGUUUUUUCAACUUAAAGUGAAAAUCGAAACGAGAUUAUUUAUUUAUUAAACUCAGAGUCGCCACUUGGGAUAAAUUAUGGUGUCCCAAGUCACCGGUUCAAAUCCCAAAUCGAGGAAAAGAUUGAUUCUGUAUUACAGUAUGCGAACAUAGAAAUCGGGGUAAGGAAUUCUGUUAACUCGGGAGAAGGUGUUAGGCAUUCCCGAGUUUCGUGGUUCUAGCACGGUUGCUCAACUGUUAUAAUUUGCCUAUUAUCUGAUUUUAAUACAUGUUUUAGCCUAUGGUGCCAUUUUAACUUAUUAACCGCUCUUAUUCAUUUUUAGGAAGAUUGUAACGUCAUUUAAAAUAUGUCUUGAACCACGUCACAUAAAUGCACCCGCAGUCCGCAACACAUUUUAUAUAACAUUGUCGAGAUUUGGAUUUGGGUCACAUAAAUGCGCACCCGAGUUUAGGAAGGUAAAUUAUUAAAUAGCGCGUCUAAAGAAACUACGAUGCAUUCAUUUCCUAUACUAAUCUAUUAUGGAGGUCAUGAUUUAAGGAUUGAACUACAGUACGCCCGCUAUUUUACAUUGUAACAAGACUAAGAAAUUUCAACACUUUUAUCUAUUUUUUUAAUCCUUAAGCAAAUGAUGUUGUAUCUACUAUCUACUAUAUUUACAUCCUCAUUUCACACCAAAAAGCUAAAAGACAAAUAUAUAUAUAUGUAUUAUAAAAUAUGUUGUUCCCUACUUUGCUGUCAAAGCAUAAGUUCCAUUUUUUCCAUAUAAUCCAUCUUAUAUUAUCUCAAAUAAAUAGCAACAACAAUAAGUGAAACAAAAUAUAAGAAUGGAAAUAAAAUUAAUUUUAAGGUGAAAUAUAGGUAAACAAAAAGAUCACAUAUAAGACAAAUCACAAACAUUAUUAAUAAAUCAUUUUAAAAGAGAGGACAGAAACAUUCGCAUUUUUGGAUUCAUGAUUUUUGACGCCAAAGUUUAUAAAUUCAAGCUAACCUUACCUGCCAAAUCAUUUUUCAUUAAUCUCACGCCUAAUUUUCAACCCCUGUCAGUGGAUACCAUUCCAAUUCUCUUUAACAAAAUUUAAAUUGCUUUGUCACAUUUAACAAGUAAAUAGUAGCAUAGUUUCAUGUAGUCACUAAACACAAUAUAGGCAUGAAAGGCAAUAACAAUGAAGAUAGACCGAACAAAACAUAAACAUGAAGAAUGGAUUAUCUACUAACUCAAACCACAAACAAGGUAAGGCAACAGAGGAUUCAUGACAAUAAAUUAGAAUGAAAGUAGAGAAGGAACAGAAAUGACAGACCUUUUAUAUACAUGGAAAUUUAUUGACUACAAAGAUGUGAGCUCGACGUGAGAAUUCAAACAAAACCGAACCAGGCACGGAGAACUCGCCGACGACCUCGAACAAGGAUCUGGACAAAAAUUAUAGCGACUCGACUAGAUUUGGACAGCUAUUUCGAGUGUAAAGGAAUCGGUUCGAUGGAUGUUUGCGGCUGGUUUUGGACGGCAUUUCAUUGGAUAUCUGGUGCUAAUUUUGGGACAGUUCUUUUGGGAUUUUUGGACUGUUUUUUCAGCAAUUUCGCAGCUGGUUUGGCUCCUCUUUAGAGCUCUUUUGCGGACAGUUUUUGAGGCUAGUUUGGGUGACGUUUUUGGGGUUGAAUUUCAGCUUGGUUUAGGGCUCUUUUCGUGGUGGUUUCGGGUGUUUCAGGGGUGUUUGAGCUGAAGUUUUUGAGGUUGAAAAGCUAUGGAUGAAGCUAGUUUUUGGGUGAAGCAACAACGGGUUUCAGCUACGUUUUCUUUUGGAUGCUUUUGGCUGCUUCUUAUUACUGAUUUUAGAGGGUCCUGUGGUUACUUUUGUCAUGAGAAGGGAUGGCCUUAUAUGGCUAUGAAAAUUUGAUGGAAAAAGAGAAUGAAGUUUCCACCAGGAAGAAGAAGCAAAGAAUGGCGG